GAUGAACGCUGGCGGCGUGCUUAACACAUGCAAGUCGAACGAUGAAGCCCAGCUUGCUGGGUGGAUUAGUGGCGAACGGGUGAGUAACACGUGAGUAACCUGCCCUUAACUCUGGGAUAAGCCUGGGAAACUGGGUCUAAUACCGGAUAGGAGCGCCUACCGCAUGGUGGGUGUUGGAAAGAUUUAUCGGUUUUGGAUGGACUCGCGGCCUAUCAGCUUGUUGGUGAGGUAAUGGCUCACCAAGGCGACGACGGGUAGCCGGCCUGAGAGGGUGACCGGCCACCCUGGGACUGAGGCACGGCCCAGACUCCUACGGGAGGCAGCAGUGGGGAAUAUUGCACAAUGGGCGAAAGCCUGAUGCAGCGACGCCGCGUGAGGGAUGACGGCCUUCGGGUUGUAAACCUCUUUCAGUAGGGAAGAAGCGAAAGUGACGGUACCUGCAGAAGAAGCACCGGCUAACUACGUG
rnacentral:rRNA from 1 species